rnacentral:rRNA from 1 species
GGUGGUUUAUAUACCCCGGUACUCAUCGGGAGGGGGAGGCUAGUGCGGGAGGUGCAUUAAGGCCAAGGUUUACAGCCUAAAGAUGAGCUCGCGUCUGAUUAGCUAGUAGGUGGGGUAAAAGCCUACCUAGGCGACGAUCAGUAGCUGGUCUGAGAGGAUGAUCAGCCACACUGGGACUGAGACACGGCCCAGACUCCUACGGGAGGCAGCAGUGGGGAAUUUUCCGCAAUGGGCGAAAGCCUGACGGAGCAAUACCGCGUGAGGGAGGAAGGCUCUUGGGUUGUAAACCUCUUUUCUCAGGGAAGAAAAAAUGACGGUACCUGAGGAAUAAGCAUCGGCUAACUCCGUGCCAGCAGCCGCGGUAAUACGGAGGAUGCAAGCGUUAUCCGGAAUGAUUGGGCGUAAAGCGUCCGCAGGUGGCUGUGUAAGUCUGCUGUUAAAGAGCAAAGCUCAACUUUGUAAGAGCAGUGGAAACUACACGGCUAGAGUGCGUUCGGGGCAGAGGGAAUUCCUGGUGUAGCGGUGAAAUGCGUAGAGAUCAGGAAGAACACCGGUGGCGAAGGCGCUCUGCUAGGCCGCAACUGACACUGAGGGACGAAAGCUAGGGGAGCGAAUGGGAUUAGAUACCCCCGGGAAAGCANANCGNNNGGUUUAAAAAACGCGAAAAAGGGAAUAUANACCCCCCUUGUAUCANCAGGUCGGUGUAUUACCACUGUCAACUGCUGCCCNCCUCCCCUCCCCUAUGUCACCUCUCGUCCUCUUCUUCUCAUACACAAUACUUCGAUUGACUAUCCUUC